rnacentral:tRNA from 1 species
AGCCUCAUAGCUCAGCUGGUAGAGGGUGCGCUGUACAAAAGGUGUAGGCAGCGUCUAUGGGUGGGUUCGAAUCCCACCGAGGCUA